CCUACGGGUGGCAGCAGUGAGGAAUAUUGGUCAAUGGACGCAAGUCUGAACCAGCCAUGCCGCGUGCAGGAAGACGGCUCUAUGAGUUGUAAACUGCUUUUGUACGAGGGUAAACGCAGAUACGCGUAUCUGUCUGAAAGUAUCGUACGAAUAAGGAUCGGCUAACUCCGUGCCAGCAGCCGCGGUAAUACGGAGGAUUCAAGCGUUAUCCGGAUUUGUUGGGUUUAAAGGGUGCGUAGGCGGUCGGUUAAGUGAGAGGUGAAAUCCCGAGGCUCAACUUCGGAAUUGCCUCUGAUCGUGUUCGGAUAGAGAGUAGUUGCGGUAGGCGGAAUGUAUGGUGUAGCGGUGAAAUGCUUAGAGAUCAUACAGAACACCGAUUGCGAAGGCAGCUUACCAAGCUACUUCUGACGUUGAGGCACGAAAGCGUGGGGAGCAAACAGGAUUAGAUACCCUUGUAGUC
rnacentral:rRNA from 1 species